CGGACGGGUGAGUAACGCGUGAGAAUCUAGCUCUAGGUCGGGGACAACCACUGGAAACGGUGGCUAAUACCGGAUGAGCCGAAAGGUAAAAGAUUAAUUGCCUAGAGAUGAGCUCGCGUCUGAUUAGCUAGUUGGUGUGGUAAGAGCGCACCAAGGCGACGAUCAGUAGCUGGUCUGAGAGGAUGAUCAGCCACACUGGGACUGAGACACGGCCCAGACUCCUACGGGAGGCAGCAGUGGGGAAUUUUCCGCAAUGGGCGAAAGCCUGACGGAGCAAUACCGCGUGAGGGAGGAAGGCUCUUGGGUUGUAAACCUCUUUUCUCAAGGAAUAAGAAAGUGAAGGUACUUGAGGAAUAAGCAUCGGCUAACUCCGUGCCAGCAGCCGCGGUAAUACGGAGGAUGCAAGCGUUAUCCGGAAUGAUUGGGCGUAAAGGGUCCGCAGGUGGCCCUGUAAGUCUGCUGUUAAAGAGUGAGGCUUAACCUCAUAAAAGCAGUGGAAACUACAGAGCUAGAGUGCGUUCGGGGUAGCAGGAAUUCCUGGUGUAGCGGUGAAAUGCGUAGAGAUCAGGAAGAACACCGGUGGCGAAAGCGUGCUACUAGGCCGUAACUGACACUGAGGGACGAAAGCUAGGGGAGCGAAUGGGAUUAGAUACCCCAGUAGUCCUAGCCGUAAACGAUGGAUACUAGGCGUGGCUUGUAUCGACCCGAGCCGUGCCGGAGCUAACGCGUUAAGUAUCCCGCCUGGGGAGUACGCACGCAAGUGUGAAACUCAAAGGAAUUGACGGGGGCCCGCACAAGCGGUGGAGUAUGUGGUUUAAUUCGAUGCAACGCGAAGAACCUUACCGAGACUUGACAUGCCCCUGAAUCCUUCUGAAAGGGAGGGAGUGCCUUAAUGACUCGCGAACACCGGUGGGUGCAUGGCCUGU
rnacentral:rRNA from 1 species